AGAAAAACAAAGGCCUGAUCCAGUGCUUUCAGUUCUCUAAUAGCCAACUCUGACUGCAAACAAAGGAGUUGCUUUCAUACAGGUCACAACCCUUCCCAUAAACCCUCCUCCUUGGAGAUACCCUUUUUAACAUGGCACUUUAUCGAAUCAAGCCAAAACAGGCCAGAAAAUACUAGGCAUCCAUUCUGUGCCCAAUAUGGUGCCAGACAUGAGGAAAAGCAGUACACCAGUCUGUUGGGGAAAGAAGAGAGACAUACAACACAACUAGAAGGAUGUUGUAACACUGCACAGGCCCAAGCAGUGGAUUAUAUGGUGCGAGAGGGCUCUCAUCUUUUUGGAGUCAUUUGUGAAGGUUUGGGAAGGCGAUAAAGAGAGUAAAAGGCAUUCCAGGCAGACGAUUACAGCACAAAGAUGGCAGGGCAGGAAUGAGCAUGACCAGUGUGGGCCAGACUCUGUGGCCUGGCCAGGUCAAAGAGGGUGAAGUGAGAGGGGAAUUGUUGGAGAAAAGUUGGAGAUAAGAGUGGGUCAGGGAGGGUUUUAUAUGGCAGGAUGAGGACUUUGGAAUGUGAUCCCCGAGCAAUACAGAAGACCCUGCAGAAUGACAGGGAUGUAAAGAAAGAAGCCUUUUAGGCAGAUGCCUGUGGCUUUAUGUGCAAGACUUGGAGGAGUUGAGUGGAGGGUUUUGCAGCCAUGCAGACCCACGGUGGUCAGUGCUUGGCCAAGGCUAGGGCUGGGAGAAUGGAGAACCAGCACAGCCUAUGGCACAAGCAAGGGCUUUGGAACCAGACACACCUGGAUUCAAAUUCCCUCCACCACCCCAUGUACCUACCACUUAUGAGCUGUGUAACCUUGAGCAAGAAGCCUCUGUUUCCUUCCCUCUAAACUGGGGCUAACCCUCUUGCUUGCCUCCUAGGGAAGCCACUGGAUCCCCAGAGCUAAAGCAAGGUGAGAGAAGCUAGCCACAAGUUUAAGAAGGUAAAAGUGACCUGGAAGGAAGUGUGUCUAAGGCACCUAGGAGGC
rnacentral:lncRNA from 10 species